rnacentral:tRNA from 1 species
GCCGGCGUAGCUCAGUUGGUAGAGCAACUGAUUCGUAAUCAGUAGGUCCCCCGUUCGAGUCGGGGCGUCGGCACCA